rnacentral:rRNA from 1 species
GAUGAACGCUAGCGGCAGGCUUAAUACAUGCAAGUCGAGGGGCAGCGCAGUGUAGCAAUACAUGGGCGGCGACCGGCAAACGGGUGCGGAACACGUACGCAACCUACCCAUAACUGAUGAAUAGCCCUCCGAAAGGAGGAUUAAUACAUCGUAACAUAAUGAAGUGGCAUCACUUUAUUAUUAUAGCUCCGGCGGUUUUGGAUGGGCGUGCGCCUGAUUAGGUAGUUGGCGGGGUAACGGCCCACCAAGCCUGCGAUCAGUAACUGGUGUGAGAGCACGACCAGUCACACGAGCACUGAGACACGGGCCCGACUCCUACGGGAGGCAGCAGUAAGGAAUAUUGGUCAAUAGACGCAAGUCUGAACCAGCCAUGCCGCGUGAAGGAUGAAGGUCCUCUGGAUUGUAAACUUCUUUUAUAUGGGACGAAACCUCUUAUUCUUAAGAGACUGACGGUACCAUAGGAAUAAGCACCGGCUAACUCCGUGCCAGCCGCCGCGGUAAAAC